rnacentral:rRNA from 3 species
GACGUAGGGAGCGAGCGUUGUCCGGAUUCAUUGGGCGUAAAGCGCGCGUAGGCGGUUUGGCAAGUCGGAUGUGAAAUCCCGAGGCUCAACCUCGUGACUGCAUCCGAUACUGCCCGACUAGAGGUAGGUAGGGGAGAUCGGAAUUCCUGGUGUAGCGGUGAAAUGCGCAGAUAUCAGGAGGAACACCGGUGGCGAAGGCGGAUCUCUGGGCCUGACCUGACGCUGAGGCGCGAAAGCUAGGGGAGCGAACAGG